GCUUGCUUCAACAGACAUAUACAAUAAUUGGAAUGACACAGAGAAGAUUAGCAUGGCCCCUGUGCAAAGAUGACACAGAAAAUCAUGAAACAAAAAAGUUACUA